CUGGUUGAUCCCGGCGGAGGCCACUGCUAUCGAGGUCCGAUUAAGCCAUGCGAGUCGAGAGGGGUAAAGCCCUCGGCGAACGGCUCAGUAACACGUGGGAUAACCUACCCUCAGAUCUGGGAUAACUCCGGGAAACUGGAGAUAAUACCGGAUAAUCCGUGAACGCUGGAAUGCCUCACGGCUGAAAGCUUUAGCGUCUGAGGAUGGGUCUGCGGCCGAUUAGGUANUUGCUGGGGUAACGUCCCAACAAGCCUAUAAUCGGUACGGGUUGUGAGAGCAAGAGCCCGGAGAUGGAUUCUGAGACACGAAUCCAGGUCCUACGGGGCGCAGCAGGCGCGAAAACUUUACACUGCGCGAAAGCGCGAUAAGGGGACCUCNAGUGCGUGCGCAAUGCGUACGUUUUCAGAUGCCUAAAAAGCAUCUGGAAUAANGGCCGGGCAAGACCGGUGCCAGCCGCCGCGGUAACACCGGCGGCUCAAGUGGUGGCCGCUAUUAUUGGGCUUAAANGGUCCGUANCCGGACCANUUANUCCCUUGGGAAAUCUUACGGCUUAACCGUAAGCUGCCAAUGGAUACUGCUGGUCUUGGGACCGGA
rnacentral:rRNA from 1 species